rnacentral:rRNA from 1 species
CAAUAGCGUAUAUUAAAGUUGUUGCAGUUAAAAAGCUCGUAGUUGAAUUUCUGCUGUGGCGACCUUGCGUUGCUUUGCGACUGCUCGUGUUGCGGCAGCAUUCUUCACUGAGUCCACUUCUAUGUGCGACUCAAUGGAGGUUUUACUUUGAGAAAAAUAGAGUGUUUCAAGCAGGCUGUGCCUUGAAUACUGCAGCAUGGAAUAAUGAAAUAGACCUGCAUUCUUGUUUCGUUGGUUCUGAAGAAUGAGUGAUGAUUAAUAGGGAUGGUUGGGGGUAUUUGUAUUCCACUGUCAGAGGUGAAAUUCUUAGAUUUGUGGGGGACAGACAACUGCGAAAGCAUCUACCAAGGACAUUCNCAUUAA